UGACAUCAUGUUGAAACACUCUCCCAUACGAUCAUCGAAGUUAAGCAAUGUUGAGUCUGGUCAGUAUCUAGAUGAGUGACUGCUUGGGAAUACCAGGUGUUGUAA